rnacentral:rRNA from 1 species
GACGAACGCUGGCGGCGUGCUUAACACAUGCAAGUCGAACGGAAAGGCCCCUUUGGGGGUACUCGAGUGGCGAACGGGUGAGUAACACGUGAGUAACCUGCCCUUGACUUCGGGAUAACUUCAGGAAACUGGGGCUAAUACCGGAUAGGAAUCCUUGCUGCAUGGUGGGGGUUGGAAAGCUUCGGCGGUUUUGGAUGGACUCGCGGCUUAUCAGCUUGUUGGUGGGGUAGUGGCUUACCAAGGCUUUGACGGGUAGCCGGCCUGAGAGGGCGACCGGCCACAUUGGGGCUGAGAUACGGCCCAGACUCCUACGGGAGGCAGCAGUGGGGAAUAUUGCACAAUGGGCGGAAGCCUGAUGCAGCAACGCCGCGUGCGGGAUGACGGCCUUCGGGUUGUAAACCGCUUUCAGCAGGGGCGAAGCUUGUGGUGACGGUACCUGCAGAAGAAGCACCGGCUAACUACGUG